rnacentral:lncRNA from 1 species
GUGCAGUCUCACUGUCGCGGCCCCAGCCGCAGAGCGCUUCCGCGGGCGCACCGACGCAGGGCCAGAGAUCGGGAGGAUCUCAGCGUGCACUCUCAGUGAUCUGUUAUUACUUUGUCAAUCAAAGCCAAUCAAGCGUCCUCCUGCCCGCCUUUGACCAAGAAGCAAGAGUGUUGAGCCGCAGAACACCAAGUGGAAGAUUAGCAACGGCUGCCACCCCCCUGCAUUUGCCGAUGGAUUAUUAACUUCAGAAAGACACAAAACGGGGAUAUUCGACGAGCCCAGCCCCCACAGCAGGAGCGAUAGGAGGAGAGACUUGUUAUUUCCACUAAUGAGUUUGUAAAAAAAUGCAGAAGGAAUGUAAAAAAAUAAAAAGGUUUACCAAGG